rnacentral:rRNA from 1 species
GAUGAACGCUGGCGGCGUGCCUAAUACAUGCCAGUCGAGCGAACGGACGAGAAGCUUGCUUCUCUGAUGUUAGCGGCGGACGGGUGAGUAACACGUGGAUAACCUACCUAUAAGACUGGGAUAACUUCGGGAAACCGGAGCUAAUACCGGAUAAUAUUUUGAACCGCAUGGUUCAAAAGUGAAAGACGGUCUUGCUGUCACUUAUAGAUGGAUCCGCGCUGCAUUAGCUAGUUGGUAAGGUAACGGCUUACCAAGGCAACGAUGCAUAGCAGACCUGAGAGGGUGAUCGGCCACACUGGAACUGAGACACGGUCCAGACUCCUACGGGAGGCAGCAGUAGGGAAUCUUCCGCAAUGGGCGAAAGCCUGACGGAGCAACGCCGCGUGAGUGAUGAAGGUCUUCGGAUCGUAAAACUCUGUUAUUAGGGAAGAACAUAUGUGUAAGUAACUGUGCACAUCUUGACGGUACCUAAUCAGAAAGCCACGGCUAACUACGUG